rnacentral:rRNA from 1 species
UACGUAGGUGGCAAGCGUUGUCCGGAAUUAUUGGGCGUACAGCGCGCGCAGGCGGCCUCUUAAGUCUGAUGUGAAAGCCCCCGGCUCAACCGGGGAGGGCCAUUGGAAACUGGGAGGCUUGAGUAUAGGAGAGAAGAGUGGAAUUCCACGUGUAGCGGUGAAAUGCGUAGAGAUGUGGAGGAACACCAGUGGCGAAGGCGACUCUUUGGCCUAUAACUGACGCUGAGGCGCGAAAGCGUGGGAGGCAACAGGAUUAAGAUACCGUGUACGUCCGAG